rnacentral:rRNA from 1 species
GGGGAAUAUUGCACAAUGGGGGAAACCCUGAUGCAGCGACGCCGCGUGGAGGAAGAAGGUCUUCGGAUUGUAAACUCCUGUUGUUGGGGAAGAUAAUGACGGUACCCAACAAGGAAGUGACGGCUAACUACGUGCCAGCAGCCGCGGUAAAACGUAGGUCACAAGCGUUGUCCGGAAUUACUGGGUGUAAAGGGAGCGCAGGCGGGAAGACAAGUUGGAAGUGAAAUCUAUGGGCUCAACCCAUAAACUGCUUUCAAAACUGUUUUUCUUGAGUAGUGCAGAGGUAGGCGGAAUUCCCGGUGUAGCGGUGGAAUGCGUAGAUAUCGGGAGGAACACCAGUGGCGAAGGCGGCCUACUGGGCACCAACUGACGCUGAGGCUCGAAAGUGUGGGUAGCAAACAGGAUUAGAUACCCUGGUAGUCCACACCGUAAACGAUGAUUACUAGGUGUUGGAGGAUUGACCCCUUCAGUGCCGCAGUUAACACAAUAAGUAAUCCACCUGGGGAGUACGACCGCAAGGUUGAAACUCAAAGGAAUUGACGGGGGCCCGCACAAGCAGUGGAGUAUGUGGUUUAAUUCGACGCAACGCGAAGAACCUUACCAAGUCUUGACAUCCCUUGACGAUGCUGGAAACAGCAUUUCUCUUCGGAGCAAGGAGACAGGUGGUGCAUGGUUGUCGUCAGCUCGUGUCGUGAGAUGUUGGGUUAAGUCCCGCAACGAGCGCAACCCUUAUGGUCAGUUACUACGCAAGAGGACUCUGGCUAGACUGCCGUUGACAAAACGGAGGAAGGUGGGGAUGACGUCAAAUCAUCAUGCCCUUUAUGACUUGGGCUACACACGUACUACAAUGGCGUUAAACAAAGAGAAGCAAGACCGCGAGGUGGAGCAAAACUCAGAAACAACGUCCCAGUUCGGACUGCAGGCUACAACUCGCCUGCACGAAGUCGGAAUUGCUAGUAAUCGUGGAUCAGCAUGCCACGGUGAAUACGUUCCCG